rnacentral:tRNA from 1 species
GGUGUAGCUCAGUUGGCAGAGUGCUUGCCUACCAGGCACGAGGCUCUGGGUUCAAGUCCUUGUACC